GCCACUGCGCCUGGCCCACCACGCUAAUUUUAAAAAUGUUUUGCAAAGACAGGGUUUCGCCAUGUUGCCUAGGCUGGUCUCAAACUCCUAGCCUCAAGCAAUCCUCCCGCCUCAGCCUCCCAAAGUGCUGGGAUUACAGGCGUAAGCCAUGGAGCCCAGUCUUAAAUUUCCCCUUUAGCACAAUCCAGACACUCAAUCUUUUCUUUCUUUUUUUUUUUUAAUUCAAAAUACCAUUGUACAGCUUAUCCUUCUGAAAUGAUCUAUUCCCUUUGUCUUGCUAUUCUAACUAUGUAAAUUUUCCUGCCAGAUUUAAUUCACACCUAUGAAAGAGGGCAACACAACAGACAUUACCACUAUCAGAAAACCACUCAAGUAGGGCCAUCAGUAUCACCUUCAAAUGUCAUCACACCGUUAUUAGUAUUGCUGUUAUCUAUGAAACAAAAUCUAAAUUAUUACCAGCUCUGCCUUCCACAACUAGUGCCUCCCCAUUCCUCUCACGUGACAGGACGCCCUGAAAUCCCCGCUAGGCAACAAUGCUAAAUGAAACUGGCAGUCUUCCCUUCUCAUGUGGCAUCAGGCUUUUUCUGUCUUGAGUAAGGGCUGUCUUUACCAUGCAUGAUUCCCAACAGCACUGCUCUUGAUCCCUGAGUGGAGACCCACACCCUGUGGGGCUUCCCUACCAGCUCCAACCCCUUUCACCAUCCCCUGCUCAGCCUUCAAGGCCUGAGGUAGGAGGGAAAAGCCAGGAUGAAGUGCCAGUCAAAAGGAUCACCCUUCCCCUACUCCAUUCUCCCCUCUCCUGUCACCCAUUUCUGACUGGCCGUCAAUCCUAUCAGGGGUCCAUAAAGCUAGGAGGACUCUGGCCCGGGAGAGGGGGGUAGGGGUUAGGCAAACAGGCCAGGGAGGCCGUUGGUUGAAAUUUAACCACAAUAUUCUCGGUCUCUAUUGUUUUGAGUGAGGCCCAAUAUUUCCACAGCAGGAUUAUAGGAUCUGAUUAACCAUGUUAGACAACAAUGCCGAGCUGGGAUGGGCUUCCCCUUCCAGCUGCCAAUAUGAAAAAGUAAAUACAACACAUUUCAGAAGGGACUCCCAGCAGCCCCUGAACCCUACUCCCCAAUUCUAACUCUGCUACUGUUUUGGGCCCCAGAGUAAGGGCAGAGAGGAAGAGUGUGGCACUGCAUGCUCCUUUAACUACUGGCCCUUGGCCCAGCAGGACAAGUAAUCCUAGCACAAUCUUCCCAGGUGAGUCAAUGGCUGUGUGCUCCCCACACCCUGGAGCUCUUCCAGUGCUUCUUCCGGGUUCCCCUGGUAGGCUGGCCCAGAUUCUUGAGAACCCAUAAGAGUUGGGUGCUGAGUGGGUGGAAGGAUAGCAAAAUCUGUUGGGCUCCAAAUAGAGAAACUGAGUGGGGUGGGACUUAAUAGCUCAGAAGAGUGAUGAAGCCUUUGCUAGAAUACUUGGGUGCUACCUAAUGACUUCCUAUGUGCUAGGAUAGAGAACUGAGAGCCCAGAGCUGAGAGGAUACAUAAAAGGCCACCACAAAAAAAGUCUCAGAAGAUGGGAUGAAAGAUCAAGAAAGAUGGACUUCUAGAUGUUCAAAUAGAGAAGGAUUCCCUAUGGUCCCUCUUCCUCACAUAAGACAAGCUACCUCAUACCCUCCAUGCACUGGAUGUUCCGCUCAUGGUCAAGUUCCUGCAGGAACUUCC
rnacentral:lncRNA from 1 species